rnacentral:rRNA from 1 species
UACGUAGGGGGCAAGCGUUGUCCGGAUUUAUUGGGCGUAAAGAGCGUGUAGGCGGCCUGACAGGUCUGCUGUGAAAACUCGAGGCUCAACCUCGAGAUGUCGGCGGAAACCGUCUGGCUAGAGUCCGGAAGAGGAGAGUGGAAUUCCGUGGUGUAGCGGUGAAAUGCGCAGAUAUCAGGAGGACACCCGUAGCGAAGGCG